GGGAACGUAGUUCAGUGGUAGAGUGCUUGCCUUGCAUGCAUGAGGCCCUGGGUUCAAUUCCUCAGCACCA
rnacentral:tRNA from 1 species